GCGAGGGUAGUUUAGUUCGGUUUAGAAUGGCUGGUUGUGGCCUGGUCGACUCGGGUUCAAAUCCCGACCCUUGCU
rnacentral:tRNA from 1 species